UACAGCGAAACUGCGAAUGGCUCAUUAUAUAAGUUAUCGUUUAUUUGAUAGUACCUUACUACUUGGAUAACCGUGGUAAUUCUAGAGCUAAUACAUGCUAAAAAUCCCGACUUCGGAAGGGAUGUAUUUAUUAGAUUAAAAACCAAUGCCCUCUGGGCUCCUUGGUGAUUCAUGAUAACUCUUCGAAUCGCACGGCCUUGCGCCGGCGAUGGUUCAUUCAAAUUUCUUCCCUAUCAACUUUCGAUGUUUGGGUCUUGGCCAAACAUGGUCGCAACGGGUAACGGAGGGUUAGGGCUCGACCCCGGAGAAGGAGCCUGAGAAACGGCUACUACAUCCAAGGAAGGCAGCAGGCGCGCAAAUUACCCAAUCCCGAUUCGGGGAGGUAGUGACAAUAAAUACUGAUACAGGGCUCUUUUGGGUCUUGUAAUUGGAAUGAGUACAAUUUAAAUCCCUUAACGAGGAACAAUUGGAGGGCAAGUCUGGUGCCAGCAGCCGCGGUAAUUCCAGCUCCAAUAGCGUAUAUUAAAGUUGUUGUGGUUAAAAAGCUCGUAGUUGAACCUUGGGCCUGGCUGGCCGGUCCGCCUCACCGCGUGUACUGGUCCGGCCGGGCCUUUCCCUCUGUGGAACCCCAUGCCCUUCACUGGGUGUGGCGGGGAAACAGGACUUUUACUUUGAAAAAAUUAGAGUGCUCCAGGCAGGCCUAUGCUCGAAUACAUUAGCAUGGAAUAAUGAAAUAGGACGCGUGGUUCUAUUUUGUUGGUUUCUAGGACCGCCGUAAUGAUUAAUAGGGACAGUCGGGGGCAUCAGUAUUCAAUUGUCAGAGGUGAAAUUCUUGGAUUUAUUGAAGACUAACUACUGCGAAAGCAUUUGCCAAGGAUGUUUUCAUUAAUCAGGAACGAAAGUUAGGGGAUCGAAGACGAUCAGAUACCGUCGUAGUCUUAACCAUAAACUAUGCCGACUAGGGAUCGGACGAUGUUAUUUUUU
rnacentral:rRNA from 1 species